CCUACGGGGGGCAGCAGUGGGGAAUAUUGGACAAUGGGGGGAACCCUGAUCCAGCCAUGCCGCGUGUGUGAAGAAGGCCCUCGGGUUGUAAAGCACUUUCAGUGAGGAAGAACGCCUAGUGGUUAAUACCCAUCAGGAAAGACAUCACUCACAGAAGAAGCACCGGCUAACUCCGUGCCAGCAGCCGCGGUAAUACGGAGGGUGCGAGCGUUAAUCGGAAUUACUGGGCGUAAAGCGCGCGUAGGUGGCUUGAUAAGCCGGUUGUGAAAGCCCCGGGCUCAACCUGGGAACGGCAUCCGGAACUGUCAAGCUAGAGUGCAGGAGAGGAAGGUAGAAUUCCCGGUGUAGCGGUGAAAUGCGUAGAGAUCGGGAGGAAUACCAGUGGCGAAGGCGGCCUUCUGGACUGACACUGACACUGAGGUGCGAAAGCGUGGGUAGCAAACAGGAUUAGAUACCCCUGUAGUC
rnacentral:rRNA from 1 species